CUCUCGGCAACGGAUAUCUCGGCUCUCGCAUCGAUGAAGAACGUAGUGAAAUGCGAUACCUGGUGUGAAUUGCAGAAUCCCGUGAACCAUCGAGUCUUUGAACGCAAGUUGCGCCCGAGGCCAUCCGGCUAAGGGCAUGCCUGCCUGGGCGUCAC
rnacentral:rRNA from 1 species